GACGAACGCUGGCGGCGUGCUUACAACAUGAAAGUUAAACAAAAUUUUUCGGGGUGUUUCCUUGGGAUUGACCUGGAAAAAGGAAGGAGCGAACGGGGUGGGAACACCUUAGAAACCUUGCUUUCACCAAGGGAUAGCCCCCGGGAACCGGGGUUAAUUCCCUAUUAAACCAAACACCCGCCUGGGGGGAUGGUUAAAGAUUUAUCGGUGUUAGAUGGUCUCGCGUCUGAUUAGCUAGUUGGUGGGAUAAAAGCCUACCAAGGCAACGAUCAGUAGCCGGAUUGAGAGGUUGAACGGCCACACUGGAACUGAGACACGGUCCAGACUCCUACGGGAGGCAGCAGUGGGGAAUUUUGCACAAUGGAGGAAACUCUGAUGCAGCGACGCCGCGUGAGUGAUGAAGGUCUUCGGAUUGUAAAACUCUGUCCUUAGUGAAGAUAAUGACAGUAACUAAGAAGCAAGCCCUGGCUAAAUACGUG
rnacentral:rRNA from 1 species